rnacentral:misc_RNA from 1 species
UCUCCGUUGGUGAACCAGCGGAGGGAUCAUUACCGAGUUUACAACUCCCAAACCCAAUGUGAACCAUACCAAACUGUUGCCUCGGCGGGGUCACACCCCGGGUGCGUCGCAGCCCCGGAACCAGGCGCCCGCCGGAGGGACCAACCAAACUCUUUCUGUAGUCCCCUCGCGGACGUUAUUUUUACAGCUCUGAGCAAAAAUUCAAAAUGAAUCAAAACUUUCAACAACGGAUCUCUUGGUUCUG